UUGUUGGAUUUUUCUUGUUUAUACCACAUAUUUCUACCUUUUAUGGAAAAUUCAAUAUAAGCAAUAUAUGUGGGUUAUUUUAUGGUAUCAAAUUUUUUGUAUUCAUAAAAAUAGCAAAACCAGAUUGCUGUUAAUGCUCUUCCAUUCUUUGCUCUGGUCACUAGGAAACCGGAAGAUACAUUUCCAUCCAAAGCCCAGAUGAUUUACAAACUGGCAGAAUACACUGCUAUGUGCUAACCUUAUCUGAAACUUUAAUAUGCCCUAACUUUAUUCUCUGUUUUUCCACAGCUCUGUUUGAAUCAUACACAUUUUCUGGCACUCUGAUUUUUUUGCAGAAUCAGGCAGGAGACAGAUGGGUAGUCUGGGAGAUGACUCACUUUCUAAUGAAUUGUGGCAGACAUUGAGUUUGAAAGGUCCAGAGGCUCUCAAGCAGCAGUCCUAAUUACCAUCAGAGAGAACAGCACAGUAUCCUCUGAAAACCAAAACCCAAAUCAUCACUCUUGGUAGGUAUUCCCUAGCAUUCAGAUGGAACACACUCAAUAACUUCAUUUAACAGGAUAAUUAACUUAGUUAUCUGCGCCCAUCAGGAUGUAAUGUGGCUCUAAAACAGACCUUUCUCAGGAGCAACACUAAGGCAAAAGUAACUUCUUUCAUACUCUAUGGCAUGGAACUCUGGACCUAAGCCAGUACUCAGUCAUGCAUUUGAGAAGAUCCAAAGUUGCUUCUUGAAGUCAACAUAUAUCCUCCUGACAGGGAACCCUACAACUUACUUUCUUGAAAAGUAGGAGGGCAUUCCAACUGGGUAUGCAAACAAUCUGGAUCUUAACAUUAAAGAAAAAAAAAAAGUCA
rnacentral:lncRNA from 1 species